UGUAUAUAUCUUCUGUCAGAGAAUAACAAUUAACAUUUUCGAUGUGACUUUUCCCAUUAACAGCUCAAACAUUUAAAUUGUUUAAGAAAUAUCUUAUAUUGUAAUGACGCACCUUUUGACAGUUGAAUGUUUCAUAAAGAUUGGAAUUCCUUAUUUUGUUAACUUUAUUAAUUUGUUUAUAAUCCGAUUCAGUUUGAGAGAGAGAGAGAGAGAGAGAGAGAGAGAGAGAGAGAGAGA
rnacentral:lncRNA from 1 species